GACGAACGCUGGCGGCGUGCUUAACACAUGCAAGUCGAGCGAUGAAGCACCUUCGGGUGUGGAUUAGCGGCGAACGGGUGAGGAACACGUGAGGAAUCUGCCUUCCACUCUGGGAUAACUCCGGGAAACCGGGGCUAAUACCGGAUAUUUUCAACUGGCGGCAUCGCCGGUUGAAGAAAGUUUUUCGGUGGAAGAUGACCUCGCGGCCUAGCAGCUUGUUGGUGAGGUAAAGGCUCACCAAGGCGACGACGGGUAGCCGGCCUGAGAGGGUGACCGGCCACACUGGGACUGAGACACGGCCCAGACUCCUACGGGAGGCAGCAGUGGGGAAUAUUGGGCAAUGGAGGAAACUCUGAUCCAGCGACGCCGCGUGAGGGAUGAAGGCCUUCGGGUUGUAAACCUCUUUCAGCAGGGAAUAAGCGAAAGUGAAGGUACCUGCAGAAGAAGCACCGGCUAACUAUGUGCCAGCAGCCGCGUAA
rnacentral:rRNA from 1 species